UUGAAAACAAAAAUGAUAUUUGAAAUCUGAAAAUUAAGUUUCAAAUUUAGUAUUUUUUAUUCUGUUUUAGAAAUAAACAAUUACGAAUAUAUUGAUAUGAGUUCGGCUACUAUAAUAUCAAUAGUACUAAGCUCUUGAUACUAUCGAGUUUUCUAUCGUUAGAUCUAUUAUUUGAUCAUUUUCAUCCGUUAGAUUAUACUAUUCAACCAACCACCGAUCCAACCUUAGUGGGGAACCACUAUCAUCCUAACCACAUAUUCUUUCAUCCAACAGUCGAAAAAUCAAUAGUACAAAACGUUGGUUAUCGAUAGUAUAGUAGCAAAAUUGAUACUGAUAUAGAGUUUUUUUAUUUUUUGUACAGUAAUA
rnacentral:lncRNA from 1 species